rnacentral:misc_RNA from 1 species
AACUUUCGGCAAUGGAUCACUUGGUUCUGGCAUCGAUGAAGAACGCAGCGAAAUGCGAUACGUAAUGUGAAUUGCAGAAUUCAGCGAACCAUCGAAUCUUUGAACGCACAUUGCGCCUGCCAGCAUUCUGGCAGGCAUGCCUGUCCGAGCGUCAUUUCCCCCCUCACGCGCCCCGUUGCGCGCUGGUGUUGGGGCUCCUCCGCCUGGCGGAGGGCCCUGAAAGCGAGUGGCGGGCCUGGCUGGUUGGCUCCGAGCGCAGUACCGAACGCACCGUUCCCCCUCUCGCUCGCGGGCCCCGCCGGCGCCCAGCCGUCAAAACCGCAGCGCGCCCCGCGUGCGCUGCACUUUUACAAGGUUGACCUCGGAUCAGGUAGGACUACCCGCUGAACUUAAGCAUAUCAAUAAGCGGAGGCU